UCCUCCACCAACAGAAAAAGACAAAGUGUUAUUGUUCAUCAUCAGGGCGCUAAAAUUCCAUUUGGUCAGCCCACCACAUCUGGGUGAUUACAAAGAAUAAUUUUACUUGCAAAAAAUAUUGGUAUGUUGCAUCGAUGUUAUUUACUUUUUUUUUAGAAAGCUUCUUUUUAUUUUAUGUGUGUGAGUAUUGCUUGCACAUGUGUCUGUACACCACACGUGUGCCUGGUACCCAAGGAGGCCAGAAGAAGGCAUCGGAUCCCCUGCAACUGGAAUUCCAGUCUGUUGCCCCCCCCCUCCCCAAAUUAUUCAUCUUUAAGUCUGUGGCAAAGUGUGAGGUGACAAGAAUGCAUCUUUUGAGUGGACUUUGGAUUUAUCUGAUCAUUGUGACACACUGCAGCUUCCAUGAGACAUGUCCCCUAGAGACGAUUAUUGGAACUUUGAUAAUCUGAAGAAGCCACUAGGACAGCGUGAUGGAUGAAGUUACUCCACAGCAAGGGAGCAGGAGAGAAAGAGGCUGAGGCCUCCAUAGUAUGUCCAGUGUCCUGCAGUUCUGCUAAGCAUAUAUGACCACCUGACCCGAUGCACUGAGCUGCCAGACAUGAGCUCGAGUGUCUUGGUGACUUGGAUGCUUUCCAGGCGCAAGUAUCAUUUUUCAGACCAUAAAAGGCGCCUAAGAGCUUUUGGCAACCAGGGUCGAGCUGACUCAGCCUCCUAAGGGCUAACUUUAUGCUGUCGGAAGCAACGAGAAAAGAGACUGCAAGAAAGCAGAGGGACUGCGGUGGAUCACGACUUUCAGGCACACUGUGCUGAGACAGAGAACUCAUCUGCAGUGUGGAGAGAAAGGAACUGGUUUGUGUUCCCAUGCAUGCCAGGCCUGUCACGCUUGUCAUUGUCCCUUCUUAAAUUGCCCACUUCAGGCAGGCACUUUAACCCACAUUGCCUAUAGGAAGACUGAGGCUUAAUACAUUUAGGCAACUUCACCAAAUAGAAAAAUGGUGGCAUUUGGAAGGUCAAACCGAAGACUACUCUAUCCCGACACCCAGGUUCAUCCCUAUGUUUGAAGUAUCUCUUUACAAGGUCAGAAGUUGGUGAGAAACUUCAGAUCUCGAAAAACUAUCAACAAAGAGAAAAAAUUUUGAGGUUUGUCAAUCUCCCAUUAAUGUGUUGAACACGGUAUAAUUUUGUGUUGAAAUAUAUUACAC